rnacentral:lncRNA from 1 species
UCAAUUCCUAUAUGAUCAUGAAAUUUCUUGAUCAAUUCCUAUAAUAUGAGGAUGCAUAUUUUGUUUUUUCCGCUUCCUUUUUUCUAUUGUGAUUUUUUGCAUGUUUGAUAUCUCAGUAGAUUUGCCUUAAUCACGUAUAGUUUGGAUUCUGGCAAAUCGACGUGUUUUUGUUUAUAUAACAUAAUAUAGAGCCAAUUUGUUACUCUAUUGAUUAAAUUAACCAAUUUCUGGUUUUGAUUGAUUAGGUUUUGAUCUGAAAAAUGGGAGGUGGAAAAGACAAUAAUGAUGAAUCUGCUGACAAGGGAGUUUUCUCACAUUUAGCUCAUGGAUUAGGAGGUGGUCAUGGUUACCCACCUGGGGCCUACCCGCCACCACCAGGGGCAUACCCACCACCACCCGGACAUGGCUACCCUCCACAUCAAGGGGGUUAUCCUCCAGCUGGUUAUCCCCCUCCUGGUGGUUACCCUCCUGCUGGUUAUGCUCAUGGUGGCUAUCCUCCU